rnacentral:lncRNA from 1 species
GUUGAGUCACAUUCUAUAGCUACCCUCACAAAUUGCCUCAAAAAAAGUUGAAGAAAUAAAAUACAUCAUCACUCCUGGAAGUUGACAUGUCGCGCUUUUUUCGCCUGCAUCCACACAACCAAUAAUGAAAACUUUUUAGACAUUUUCGUUCUCCGAUUAUUAGUAAAGCUUUUUGAGAAAACAAAAAGAUGUCCAACCUCUUCAUUGUUUAGACGACUUUUGAGCUUGGUGAAGGUUCUUAGAAAGUUCCAGUGUUGAUGGCAUCAGCGUUAGCAUCUCCGAGAGCUGCCUCUUUAAGAUAGGUUUCAGCCAACUGGACUCUCUUGACAUUCUCUUGCUCUUGAACAAGCAUGUUACCAUACUCAAGGAGCUUCUCAAGGGUCAUUUUUGGUUGCUCAAAAGUUGGGGGUCCAUCUCUAGAGUUCAAAAGUUUUUCACCAAUGAGUUCAAU